rnacentral:rRNA from 1 species
UACGUAGGCGGCAAGCGUUGUCCGGAAUUAUUGGGCGUAAAGAGCGUGUAGGCGGCCAGGUAGGUCUGCUGUGAAAACUCGAGGCUCAACCUCGAGACGUCGGCGGAAACCAUCUGGCUAGAGUCCGGAAGAGGAGAGUGGAAUUCCUGGUGUAGCGGUGAAAUGCGCAGAUAUCAGGAGGAACACCGAUUGCGAAGGCAGCUCGCUGGGACGUAACUGACGCUGAGACGCGAAAGCGUGGGGAGCAAAAGGG